AGUCGCCACGGUAAUACGGAGGGAGCUAGCGUUGUUCGGAAUUACUGGGCGUAAAGCGCGCGUAGGCGGUUACUCAAGUCAGAGGUGAAAGCCCGGGGCUCAACCCCGGAACUGCCUUUGAAACUAGGUGACUAGAAUCUUGGAGAGGUCAGUGGAAUUCCGAGUGUAGAGGUGAAAUUCGUAGAUAUUCGGAAGAACACCAGUGGCGAAGGCGACUGACUGGACAAGUAUUGACGCUGAGGUGCGAAAGCGUGGGGAGCAAACAGGAUUAGAUACCCGAGUAGUCCCUGUCUCUUAUACA
rnacentral:rRNA from 1 species